AAGAAGGAAUCUAAUUGUUGCAGAAAGUGCAAUGUGCUAGGUGAAGUCGGCGCCCUCGCAACAUCCCGGUAAAAGGUUAAACAGCCGUCCGACACUGGCCUCAGGUCCCCGCCCGCGGAGCUCAGGUGUAUCUUACAAGCGGGAUGGGCGCGGCGCCUCCCUGGCCACCAGGAGACCCUGGCCCAGCGGAUGGUCUUCCGCUUCCCUGUUCCUUGCCGGACCCGCAGCCUUUCCAGGUUACUCUCCUCGCACCCGCGCUCCUCCCCAUCCCAGCGACACUCGGUCUCCACGCCUCACCCUGGCUGUGCCGUGGAUGGCACCACGUCCCCUUCAACAUCCACAUCCGCCUCUUCAGCCGCCAUGAUGGGACCUAAACCCAUCCGUCCUCCCGAGAGAUCCCGCGAGAGGUGGAAGGAUUGGGGUGGGGUCUCAGGCGUCACGGGGCGGAGUUGAAGCCUCGUCCAGCCCCUUCCGUGCAGUGGAGGCGGGGCCUCCAGAGAAAAAAAGGACCUCAGUAAUGUGCACCUUGGUUCGUUGGACCCAGUGUGUAAAGUCCUUUGGAAGCAGUUGAGGCUUUCUUUGAAGAGAUUGUGCUCUCGGACAAAUUCUUGGCUCCUCACUUGUCUCAUUGGUAAAAUGGGAAUAAUGCUCCGGGAGGAUGGGUAUAGCUGGCCAGGCUUGGGUCACGUGCCAUCCAAGAAGCCAGGUGGACUCAAUUCCACCAGCAUCACGUGGAAUAAGGAGGCGCGGUGGCUCCCCGAGCAAAAUAAGGGUACUGUUUCCAGAGAGAGGAAGAAUGGAGGCUGGGUUGUGCAAGCAGGAAGGUUUAAAGUCACACGAGAACGAUUUAAAGGAAAAGACACACUUGUUUCUGUUCCCGGCAAACACAAGCAGCUUGUGCUUUACUGGUCUGGUUUUCUCAAAUGAUCUUUCUUACGGAAGGAUCCAUUACCCAGAGAGAGUAUCUGUGUCGGGAAUCUGCCAGCGGGAAAGUGACUCAGAGCAGCUCUGGAGUUCAGACAGCUGAGAGCGCCAAGCGGGCUCUGAGGCGUGCUUCCCUUCCGAGAGAGGCCGGCUUUUGAUGUGCGUUUACCAUGUCGUCAUGUUCUACCCCGGGACUCCAAGUGAGGAAAUCCCUGCUGCAUUUGUUUUCUUCCCUUCAGGCAAUAUGACCCAGUCAACGGGUAAGGUCCCUGCUUAUUCCCCGUCUUCUCUCUUCCUUUAUCUUCCCUCAGCUCUUGCUCCCCCUUUCCCCAUAUUUCUCCUGCCUGCUCUCUUCUUUGGGUAAAAUCCAAAGCAACGUGUCAACUCAGAGAGCCUAGCUUUCCGACUUGAUCUCUUACAAACUGUGUGACCCGGAGCAAGUCACUUACCAUCUUGGUAUUUUUUUGAAUAUCUUGAAAAUGGGGGAACCAUAUUUUUCACGCAUCCAAGCAUUUGCAAAUCCACUUACUAAUCAGGUAUCUACUAAACACAUUUGGAUGCUAGACCCUGGACUGAAGAUACAGGGGAUGUGGUUAUAAAGAUGAUUAAAAUACAGUCCCUAUCCACCGGGUGACCACAAUAGAGUGGAGAAUAACACUCUGCUCACAGUGUUGUUUCAAGAAUUAAAGGAAAUAAUGUAGUUAAAAGUAUUUUGUGAAUGUAUAGAAUUGUCAAACCACUAUGUUGUGAACCUAAAAUUAAUACAUAUCAUUGUAUGUCAACUAUAAUUCAAUUAAAAAAAUAUUUUGUGAAUGAAAUAGUUCAUUAUGGGAAGUAAAGCUUCCUUUUAGUAACUUCUAAAACUUCUAAAAUUUCUGCCAUCAAAAUAUUUCCCUCGGGUUGACCCUAGACUUUCACAUUCAAUAUAAAGUCCUGUUGGCACAUGUGAGAUGAAGCUCACAUGGCCAUUGUCUUACAUAUGAUAGGCAUUUUCCCUCUUGUGCAGAGAUUUAAAGUAAAAGGGCUCAUAUACAUGGAGAUGUCUUCCUUUCUCAUCGCCAUGCAUUGGCAGAUCAGGGCUGCUGUGACAGCUCCUCCCUGGGUCACUCUGUGGCUCCCCUGGAGGGAUCCAAGAUGGCGACAUAUAAGACAGCUACCCAUGUUACAGCUGAAAGUCAGCCAGCAAGGCAGAGGUAAGAGGCAAAGUGGAGGGCAUGCCUCUUCCCUUUGAGAAGUUGCCCACCUCCUUCUGCUUAUGUCCCAUGAGCCAAAACUUAGAAUUUGGUGACUCCACCUACCUUCAGAGAGGCUGGAAAAUGAAGCCUUUAUCCUGGGUUUCUGGCACACCCCACAUCCAAUCUCUCAAGUGUGUCCAGUGUCCAGCCCCUUCUCACCAUUUCACUGCUUUCACUAUGGUCCAAAGUCCCCGUUACUCUCCUUUGGAAGACUGUGAUAGGGGCCUAACUGGUACCCCUGCUUCUACUCUUGCCUUCCCCUGAAAUCUUCACUCAACACAGAAUGAUUCAUUCAGAAGUCAGAUUUUUAACUCUUCUACUCAAAAACCUUCCAAUGGCUCAUGAGGCUCUCUCGGAUGGGACUCCUGCUACCUAUGACCUCCUGCUCUCUUCCCUCACCUAUUCCUUUUUUUGUCACUUUUGCUCCCUUGCUGGUCCUGAGGAUGGCAGACACACUCUUGUGUGGGGCAUUUUCACUGGCCAUUCCCUCAGCCUGGAAAGCCUAUCAGCUCAGAUACUUACACGACUUGCUUCCUCACCUCCAAAUCUUUGCUCGAAUGUCGCCUUAUCAUAGAAGUCUACUAUGACUACCCUAUUUAAAAUUGCAAGCCCCGUUCCCUCUCUCUGCACUACCAAUCUACUUUAUCUUGUUCUACAUUUUCUAAUAUACAGUAUACUCUCCUCGUUUACUAUCUUUACUAUUCUUUGUGCAUCUUUUUUUGUUAGCAUAACAGCUCCAUGAAGGUAAUUUUCUUAACUGAUACAUCCUAACACCUAGAACUGUGCCUGGUAUCUACUAGAUACUCAAUAAACAUUCUUUAAAUAUAAGAUUGAAUGAAAAGAUGGAGUCAAACACAGUUCUGAUGACAUCAUUUGAAUGUUGGAUCUACUGUGUCUGAAGCAAGAUCAUUUCUAGACUUCUCAGCUCCAUGGGUCAAAUGUUAAUUUAUCCAAGAAAAACUGUUUAUUUAAUUAAAUCAGUUAGAGUUAAGUUUUUAUUUGCAAGGCAAGAGCCCUGACCUCCACAGGGAGCUAAUAUAGAUUGGGAAAUCAUGGAAGACCUCUCUGAGGAAGUGACAUUUAAGCUGACAUUUGAAGAAUGAAUAGGAACCAGCCAAACAAAGGUCAGGGAAGGAGAUGGACAGUGCAGGGGAAACAUUCCAGGAUGGUGGGAGGUGAGAGCCCUGAGGCAGGCAGGAAUUGAAAGCUGUCUGUUGAGAUGAAGCCAAGAGGUGGCUGAGGCCAUUAUAGGGGCUUUGGAAGUAUCAGGAAGUGUUUUUAAUGGUAUUAUGAGGGCAAUGGAAAGCCAUUUUUGGAUUUUAAGGAGAAAAGUGAUAUGACCUAGCAUAUUUUUCUAAAAGAUCACUUUGGGUAUUGGACAGUUAAUGGAUUAUGGUGUGUGUGUGUGUGUGUGUGUGUGUGUGUGUGUGUGUGUGUGUGUUUGGGGGGG